ACCUUCCGCUUCCCAGCUCCCUGAGGCUGGGCGCUCAGCAGACGACGUAGUUCUUGUGCUCUUCCCGCCUCGCCUUUCUUUUCUUGGUUUCAAUCCUGGUGUUGCAAGCCAAUUCCCGGGUCUUGUUAGGCGGGAAACACAGACUGCAUUACCCAUGUUUGAAACUGGAUUUGCGCGUUUGGGAAGCAAGAAUGGGGUUACUCUGCUGGAAAAGCUUGACAUUGCAAAUGAGGGAUUUUUACCCUACGGUUCCACAAGUUCCCACUAAGUAUCUGGUACGCGGAAGAGAGGGACAAGGAAGCACAGAGGCUCAGAACAGUUCGUUGUUCACCUCGUCUUUCUACCACAUAAUUCUGCCUCUAGAAAUACAGGAGAAAGAGUAGCCACGCAAAGCUUCUAGGUCCAGGUGCCGGCAAUAACAGCAAAAAGGGAUCGGAGCCUUGGAAGUAGAUGGAAACUUCAGGGGAAGAAAAUAGAAGCACAAAGAGUAAGCAAAGGGCAGAGAAGUAUUUCAGAAAUUGAGGUCAAAAUGCUUCUCAGGGCAGGGGGUGAAGAAGGGAGCCAGAAAACAGCAGUGAGAGCUCCACUUGUGGUGAGAUGAUGUAGAACCAUCUCAUGCUUUUUGAUUGUCAUGAGACAAGACACAGAAAAUGCUCCGUAUUGUCAUUUGCUCUGUGACAGCCUUACCCUCCUCACAGCACCCCUGCAAGGUGCUCCCGUUAUCCAUUGUGCACGUGGAAGCUGAGGUUCCGAAAGUAGAAGUGCCGUUCAGGUCACACGGUUAGCAGGGAGGACCUGGAAUCCAGGUAUUGACGCCAUGGCUGUGCUCCUUCCACGCGCCCUCGGCUGCUUCCCGCAUUCGUCAUUAUCAAGGAACUGAAGACCCUGAGCUGUAGAGCCAGCAGAUCUGAUCUUGGAUCUUGGCUGCGUCCCAGGUUUGUUGCGUGAGCUUAGGGAGGAUUUGACCUUCUCAGCCUUCUUUCCCCCUAAUUACAAAAAGGGGGUGAGCUUCCCGCCUCUGCCAAGUUUUAAAAGCCAUUUACUUCACACUUAAGAUGCAGAUGAUGACAAUAAUGAUGCAGACCUUAACAGUUCACAUUUAUUGAGUAAUCACUUUGUGCCCACACUGUUCUAAGCCCCUCCCGUGUAUUAACAUAUUUAAUCCUUGUGGCAGUGCCCAGUGAGGUUAAGUAAAUUGCCCAAGCCCCCUAGGUAGUAAGUGGGAAAGUUAUGUUUGGUAAGAGAGGCACAAAUAACCCCCUGGGGCCUGAGUGGUGGAGUUUUGCAAAGGUUGGGGAAGAGCUAGCCUCAGGCCACCACUCGGCCCUGCACAGACUUUGCUCAACAGGUGGGAGUGCAACAGGUAAUGUUGACAGUGACCAGUUUCUUCUUCUAGGUCCCCCCUGCCCUGGUCAUCAUCUCCAGAGGUUCUGUAUCUUCAGCCUUGAUUUCCUCUUCGCUGUUUUUCCUCUUUGCUGCAGCCCUUAUGAUUCAGUUCACCUCUCUGGCGAGGCUUUCCUCAGUCCAGUCUUGAUUCCAACAUCUUCACCAGUCCCCACCCGCGCCAGUCAACAGACUCCCAGCCACCUGUCUUUGAUUCUUCUGGUUUCCCUCUUCCAAGCACCCCAUCCCUUCCCUGAGCCCCUUCUUGGGCAGCAGCUUGUAGUGCCUCCAGCUCCCUGAAAGUUACCUCCAGGAGCACUUGGUCCAGUGGGGUGUGGGAGAGGCUGUAGGACAGCUGCGUGUCAGGAAGGAGGGAGGUGGGCUGUGAUGGACCUUGGAGAGCACUUUGUCUCCGAGCAACUAUUAUAAACAGAGAGCUGAUGAGUUCUGGGCCUGCAUACGAAGAAAACAGUGCAAAGAACGGGCAUCUGGAGCUCCUGGCCACACACAGUGUGACCAGACCUGAUGAAGCGCCCCUACGUCACCUCAGGCCACGUGGCUUCAAGUUUGAAUUUCAGGCGCAAACCAUCAAUUCAAGAUGUUGGAAAGUAAAGUGAGCCCCCACUCUUGCUGCCGUGCAAUUCUCUCCACCCCCAGCCACCCCCGCCCGUUCUCUGACAUUUGUUUAAUAAGCUACAGGUGAUAGUAGUUAAGUCACUGGAUGAUGAAAUUGAUUUUUUUUUUUUUUUAAGUCACUUUGGUUACACAGGGAAAACCUGGAAGAGGGGAGAUACAGAAGAACCCAUACCUGCAUGGCCUGAAGACAGGCUAAAAGACUGAUGGGAGCUUGCGACCCUACAGAGUUGGAACCGCUCUGCGCUCACAGGCCUGGGAGCUUAGUGCCCAGUGGCCAGGGUGAGCAGAUGCGGCGAUGCUCACCCAGCUUGUGCCGAGGCAGCCCCUGCGGAUGAGGCUUGGUGCUUUGGGCUAGGAGGAGGGAGCAACCUGACUGAUUACACCCACCUCCCCCAAAGCUCCUUUUAGAGCGGGCUGUUCCACUUUCCCUGUAGCUUAGCAACCCGAGCCUGACAACUGAUUUACUGGUAAAAAAGCUCGACUUUCUCCAAACAGGUUUUUUUUCCUUUCCUUUUGUUUUCUUCUCUUUUUUGUCCUUCUUUUCAAAUAAGCAAAACUUGCCAGUGACAACGUGCUUGCGGAUUCCUCUUAGAGACGCCGUUUCACCUUGUCUAGUUGCAUGGACCCCUGCCCAGACACCAGCUUUCUCCCUGGUCUUCCAGCCUCAGUCUCAUCGCAGUUCCUCCAUGCUGCAGCCAGAUUGAUCAGUUCAGUCUGAUAAGCUUCCUCUCUUGCUUAAAUCUUUUACUAGCUCCCAGAAUAUUCCCACAUGGCCGUCCACCAACAAGCCCUGCCUAUUAGAUGUCACCUGUCCUUUGUCACAGUUUGUGUGACACUGCCCCACUGGAUUAGAAUUCUUUCUUGCCUCCAGAUCUUUGAAGAUAGCAUUUCCUUUGCCUAGAAGGCCCUACUUCUGCUUACUCAGCUGUGAAAUGUUUUUCAAGAUUCGGCGUAAACACUGGCUCCUCGCGAGCCUUUUCUGAGCAUUCCCCAGGCAGAACGGACCACCCCUGCCCUGACAGGUGGCCAGUGCCCAGCUCAGUGCCUGGCACAUAUGGACUCACACAUAAUGAAACGGGCAAAUGAGAUAUAGCAGAAGGAAGGAGGAGAAUAGAAGGAAGGAAGGACCCCCCCUAGGAUUCCUUUGUGGAUCAAAGGCAAAGAAAGAAGGGCUUCUGAAGGCCUGGCACAGCUACAAGAUCUAAAUCCCUCCCACUUACUUGUGUGGAAUAAAAGCCUCUCACUUGAGUGAAUAGCAAGAACUACUGAGAUUGCUUUGGAAGAGAAGGUCAGAACUACAUUAGUUCAUGCAGAAUGAGACCCGUGGGCCUUGUCAUGUUCACGUCAUCGUGACAUCAUGCGGCCACCGACCCCGAGGAGAUGCGUGGAGGGUCUUGGCGCUCAGCAGGCUCAGAAGGCCCCAGAGAGCGAUGGCCAGCUCGGCAUGCCCGUGUUCAGAGAAGUGCAGACAGUCCUCGGAGAAGAUGCUGAGGACAUCUCGGUCCUAGUUAUACUCAAAAAAGGCGGUGCAGGGAAAAGCAACCCCGCGGGGACGCUCUCGUAGGGAUGGUCCAGAAAAGCCCACGUGGAGAAGGAAAUACAUCGCCUGAAAUCCGGCUUCCCCGACCCGGUGGCAGCUUACGUUGUUCAGGGGGGCCAGCGUGUGCCGGAAGAACGGCUGCACGACCACCGCGAAGUCCUCCCGCUGCAGGGGCUGUGACCUGUGUUUACGGAGUGACCUUACUCUCCGGAAAGCCCUGCUGAACACUCAAUUUUGGAAUCCUUGCUCCAGGAGUAAAGAUGGGGGGGCGGGGUCACCUGGAAGUUCCAGUUCACGGUCUUCAGCUCCUGCAUCUCCAGGGAGUUCUCCUGGGAGCCUCGGAAGCAGGCACAGUUGCUCCUGUGAGACAAAGAGGCCUGUAGCUCCUUAUCCUCAGGAGGCUGCCGGGCCCUGGGCCACCUCACGGGGGAGGGUGGCAAUACACAGUAGCAGCCUUGCUGCCUCUUGGGUCCGGGUCAUAGAACCAUAACUCAGGCACGAGGUCUAGAAGGUGCAAGGGCUGGGCUCUGAUGCCUGUGCCCCUGACUUCCUCCCAAGCCUGCAUCUCCUAGGGUUUCUCCAGGGGGGCUGGGGUUUGGGGAAGACUGGCCAGGUGGCCCAGCUUUCUUCUUCAUGUUCCUGAAGCCCUCCUUCUCUACGGGCUCAGAGUGAGGGGUCUCUUGGGCUGCUGGGGAGGUUCAGCCAGCUUGAGACACCCCAACAAGGUGGAAUGUAAGCCCCCCAGCCACUGGCCGCUCCAGAUGGGGGCUUGGUUCCAGGCAAGAAUAGAAACCAUUUGACCCCAGAUAGAACACAGUCCCCUGUAGACUCUCCUCCCCCCAAACCGUCACAGGAACUCUGGGUGACCCUCUGGUCUCAGAGGGUAGCAACUUCUUGCAGAGUCACAGCUGGGCUUUACUAAGUUCCAGCCCCAACUUAUCUUAGAAGUUGUGCCUUACCUGCAGGCCUGUCCUAUAAGCACAUUAUAAAAGUUACUAUUUCUUGAGUGGCUGCCCCACGGGCACCAUGCACGUUACAUGCAUUUCUCCUAGAUGUCACCUCUGCUUCCCAAGGAGAGUCUACAAGUAAGAGGCCCAGAGAGGCUGGGUGGUUUGUCCAAGGUCCCACAGCUCCUAAGUGGAAGAGCCAGGAUUCGAGGCCAGAGGGAGCUGUCUUGAGAGCUCAUUGCCUUGUACGACCCCUCCACCAGGGAACAGUGUGCUAGACUGGAGUUUGGCCAUCACCAUGUCAUUUGGUCUGUCUACCUCACUUUCCAGAAAAGCAAACUGGGGUCCAGAGAAAUGAAGCAACCUGCGUCCAGUAUGCAUGCAACAGGGGGCACCCUUUCCAAAUGGUUUCCCGAGCCCCUGGCUAAUGGCUGGCGCCCUGGACAGGACUGUCGGGCUCACCUGUUGGCAUCGGUCAGCCCUGGUGUCCCAGGUGCCCUCACCCUGGGGCCAUGUAUGUCUACUUACUGGGCUGCCAGUGGCAUGACACAUGUGUCGCCUUGGCCCUGGUACAGACCAGCCAGCUCCAUGACUUCCACCACGUUGACGAAGGCCCUCGGCAGCUGUGGGGAGCAGAGGAGUGGGCUUCAGUAGGCCCCGGGCAGUCACGGGGGCACUGGUUACUGCUGGAAAGAACUUGGAUCCUCUGCAGUCUAACUCCCCCCUCCCCAAUUUUACCAAUAAACCGAGGCCUGGAGAGGGAAAGGGCCUGGUAA